GCAUGUGGGGUGAUCCGGCUGCAGCAUCUGUCACUCCAUUUGGCACCAGGGUCAAUCCAGCUGAUCUUCCAGCUGAUCUGGCUGGCUAGGCAGGUGUCCCUUUCUUUCCUCACCACUCUGAGUGUCUUCCUCCUGAAGCUGUGUGCUCAGCUCAAAACGGUGACCUUCUCUAAUCAGGAUGGUUGGUCUCAGGUCAAGUGUAUACAAGUAGAUGCACUCUUUUGAUAGUACCUCCGAAUAAGCUCCCAUAAUCCUUGAGGCAGCUGUUGAGGUGCUCAGUGACUGGCUCUGACAACUCCCAGUGAGCAUGUGCAGAAGUUUCUCCUAGGUGAUAAUUCAAAGCUAUAGCAUAAGAGCCUCCUUG
ensembl:misc_RNA 7SK 7SK RNA